GACGAACGCUGGCGGCGUGCUUAACACAUGCAAGUCGAACGGAAAGGCCCUGCUUUUGUGGGGUGCUCGAGUGGCGAACGGGUGAGUAACACGUGAGUAACCUGCCCUUUACUUUGGGAUAACUUCAGGAAACUGGGGCUAAUACCUGAUAGGAGCUCCUGCUGCAUGGUGGGGGUUGGAAAGUUUCGGCGGUUGGGGAUGGACUCGCGGCUUAUCAGCUUGUUGGUGGGGUAGUGGCUUACCAAGGCUUUGACGGGUAGCCGGCCUGAGAGGGUGACCGGCCACAUUGGGACUGAGAUACGGCCCAGACUCCUACGGGAGGCAGCAGUGGGGAAUAUUGCACAAUGGGCGGAAGCCUGAUGAAGCAACGCCGCGUGCGGGAUGACGGCCUUCGGGUUGUAAACCGCUUUCGCCUGUGACGAAGCGUGAGUGACGGUAAUGGGUAAAGAAGCACCGGCUAACUACGUG
rnacentral:rRNA from 1 species